CCACAGAUGUCUUAAAUCUUUUCCUGCAAGAGAAACACCUUGGGAUAACUCUUUCUACACCACCAGGAUCCAAACUAUCACAAAAACAUUCACAGAUCAAAGAAAGGAAGAAAUGGUAAAAAGAACAGUGUGGUCAUCAUGUAUGCGUCACAAGGUUGGUAAGCAAAAUUAACCUUGAAGAACAAAGUGUUUACAAUGCUGACGGAACAAACACAAUUCUCUACAACAAAUUGAACGACUCAAUUUGUCUCAAUAAUGUCUCAAUAAUUCAACUCACUCGUUAAAAGGCAACAGAUAGAGCAGGCUGGAAUCAAGUUGCCUGGGUUCAAAACCUGGUUCUUAAUUACAAGCUCUUGGGCAGCUGUUGGAAUAUGAGAUCGACUUGCCAACGACCAUCUUGCUGCCACCUGGAGAAAGUCUGAGAAGGUAGCAGAGCAGAGGCAAGAGAGCUGGAGACAUAGAGACUGAGAACAUUGAAAUGCAAA